rnacentral:rRNA from 1 species
AACGAACGGCUGGCGGCGACGUCUUAAGCAUAGCAAGUCGAACGGCAAGAGGUAGCAAUACCUCCUAGAGUGGCGGACUGGGUGAGUAACACGUGGGUGACAUACCCUUCAGAUGGGGAUAGCUAUUAGAAAUAGUAGAUAAUACCGAAUACGAGCACAGGGGUUAGAGAUCUGUGAGGAAAGGAGCUAAGGCUCCGCUGAAGGAAUGGCCUGCGGCCCAUUAGCUAGUUGGUGAGGUAAGAGCCCACCAAGGCGAUGAUGGGUAUCCGGCCUUAGAGGGUGAACGGACACAUUGGGACUGAGAUACGGCCCAGACUCCUACGGGAGGCAGCAGCUAAGAAUAUUCCGCAAUGGACGAAAGUCUGACGGAGCGACGCCGCGUGGAUUGAAGAAGGCCGGAAGGUUGUAAAAAUCCUUUUGAAACUGAAGAAUAAGCGUUGUAGGGAAUGACAGCGUGGUGACAGUAGGUUUUGAAUAAGCAACGGCUAAUUACGUGCCAGCAGCCGC